rnacentral:lncRNA from 1 species
AUUGGUCAACAUGUGAAGCACAUCAGACAUUGUGGGUCGAUCAAUAGCUUUGUCUUGAACACAUAAUAAUCCAAUUUGAAUGAAACGUGAAACUUGAGGUAUCAAACAUGAUUGACACAAACAUUCAUCAAGUAGCAUUAAGCUUUUUUGUUCUUUACAAAGUGUCCAAGCCUGCAAUUUUCAUUAAAAUUAUUCGGAUCUCGCAGUGUACAUAAUUUUCAUUAAAAUUAUCAAAAAAUUUAUUACUUACUUGUGCUAGAAGGUUCACAUCAUUCUCGUAUUUGUAAUAUACGCGAUUUUUCUUCCCACUGAUAAUUUCUAACAAUAAUACUCCAAAGCUGAAGACGUCAGAUUUUAUUGAAAAUAUUCCACCAUUAGCGUACUCAGGCGGCAUGUAUCCACUACAUCAUAUGAACAAUAAUAUUUAUUAAUCGUAUAUAUAUAGGGCGCACAAAUAGGGUGUGCCAAAAAUAGGGUGUGUCAAACGUCAUAGAACGUAAUACAGUAACGAGUACAACUCGAGGAUAAUGUAACAUACAACGUAUUGAUGAAUAAAACGUCGUUGUACAGAGUUUAAUUGUUGAUGAACAUUGUCAGUCGACGGAUUAUGGUCUAAUAGUCGGAAAAAAUUCGGCGCAUUUGGCACACCCAAUUUUUGGCACACCUGAAACUAGCUCUCUAUAUGACUAUAUAUGUGGGGUACGUAUUUAAAUUUUAUUUUCAAUUACUUUAAUUUCUACAUUAAUUAUAAACUUACAAUGUACCGAUAACUCUUCUGGUGUUCUCUUCUACCUGUUCGAUUCCAAAGAGUCUAGCUGUGCCAAAGUCAGAUAUUUUUGGAUUCAUUGCCUCAUCAAGAAGAACAUUCCCAGGUUUAAGAUCUCUAUGAAUGAUUCUAAGUCCU